CAGACGUGCUGCUUCUAUGAUGAGCUGUAUGCCAUUCUAGGGGGUGCAGCCACCACUACCUCAACCCUGUGCUUUGACUCCGUCCAAGGAGUGGGAGGCAACACGGAAGCGGGUUUUGGGGGCAAGGAAGAUAAUAGCUUAUAGCAAGGAAGCGGAGAAACCAUUUUCCCCAACAGCCAGGAUCUGUUUACCACCCUGGACCUGGACUCAGUACCCCCCGAAUCCACACAAGGUGGGCUCCUGAACCCUGAAGGUGGAGAAGGGACCUCUGCAGCUGCAUAUGUUUCUCCUUCCCAGAGGCUAGCAAAGAUAAGAAGGC